UGUACUUGGCGUUUUAGUAUUUUAUUGAGAAGUAAAUCCGAUUGAACUGCAAUGGUGUCGUUAUAUGGAAAUUGUUGUUAGUGAAGGCCCAUGGAGCCUUCCAACGCAUCGAAAUCCAGCAAUUGAUUUGAAUAGAAGCAUUGUAGUGCUAUUUUCUAAGGAUAUAACAAACCUCAAGCUGAUGUCCUUCUUGAAAGACCUGGCCCUAUUGCACAAAAACGUACAUUUUUUAUCUAAAAAAAAGACAUUUAAAGAGUCAUUAACCUCCCAAAAUGGUUGCCUACAAUUAUUGAUUAAUAUGUUAAUUACAAUGAAUUAACCAUUUGACGCUCAACACAUUCGACAUGUCAGUUUUUAAUAUGUAUUCAUUUUUGAGAUUUUUUCUAUUUUUUUCAGAGCAACUGAACUUCCACGUCCACUCCCUUUGGAUACGGUUUGCCUAUGCCGAUCAGCUGUUCGCUUCAGGAAUUUUCUAUGUGAGCAAGAAUACGAUAAAAAAUUCAGAGGGUAUAUAACACCGCUAACUAUAUCAAAACACGUUAAACAUCGGAUGCAAUUAGAGGCCUAAUUUAAUAGAGACUUAUAUACUCUAAAACAUAUUCGUUUUAAAAAAGGAAGUACUUGAAUAGUUCUUAAAUGAAUUGUAAUAAAAUAGAUUGCAUUUAAAAUUAUGUAAAUAUAUGUAUGGGUCAAGAGUGGGUUUCAUAUCCUUGCAUAAGAAGCUAAAAUUCAGUAAAUUAAUAAAAUAUUUAAUAUUUCGCGCGGAUCAUCGACCGAAUUCAGCGCAACAGCACCUUGCGCACGAGAGCGGUACUAAUGACCAUGUCUAAGCUGGUUUCACGUAGUUAGCCAUAACUUGUAAAAUAACAAUGUGAUUGGUUCGAUUCUACAAAUUUAGAGAGGUAUUACCAACUUAAAUCGGGUUUAUUUUACACUAAAACAAAAUCAAUAAAAAUGUGGGCGCCAGGCAGACUUAAGCGUUAAAGAAGAUUGUGAGCUUGUCACUCCUUUGAAACAAACUUGCACUUUCUCAGAACCAUUAGAACCUGUAUGCUUAAUCCCAACAUCAAGGAUUUAUAACUCAGCGUUCAUAGGAAGGGGCAGACAGACAUGGCUAGAUCGACUCGGCUAGUGAACACUUCCUUCUACCUGCCGUGCACGUUCCUACUUAAAUAGUCGACCCUUUUACUCUACGAGUAACGGGUAUAAUGGUCGUCGGUUCUAUUUUUCAGUGCGGUACUCAGAUAAGCUAAGGAAAUACCAGAAAAAAACCUGAUUUAGCGAAUGAGUUUCGAUGAACGCCCUUAGCUGCGGCCCAAAGAAUAAGAAAUUUAAUCUUAAGCGGUGUUCGUGCAAAGGCGGUGUGGAAACUAUAAAUUAAAAACGGAAGGACAAUCCCAAAAUCGACUGCAGGAGGAAGCAAUACCACAACGGGGCAAAUCCGCAGAAUAGUUGCAGUGCUGGAGGAUAUCCCCAAGGGAGUCCCAGUGACAUUUUGCCGUGUCCUCGCAAAGAAACAGAACCACCCGUAUUACGAUCGCCGACGACCUCUCCAUUAGGACUGCGGAUACCACCACCAUCAGCUACUUGACAGCUUAUGCGGAGCUGGAGGACCCGCUGGCUUCUAUAGGGAGGAGGAAAACAGGACGCCCGCUAAGGAACAGUUGUAGAAGCCAUUGCCAGGAUGCUGGGCGACUUUCUGCAGCAUCAUGGGACGAGAAGGACGCUUAAAAAUACUAAUUUUAUUUACUAAUUUAAUUACUAUUUUCAUUUUAGUUUUUUGCGCACCAGCAGACUCUUCUUUUUUAAAUUGCUCCAAUUGAUUUCUUUUGCGUUUGGCAACAAACCCAACUGCUUGACAGUAAGACCAUGCUACAUGCAUUGUGGGUGAACUUUCAAAUAUUCGGUCCCAUGGGUAAAUGUCUUGGGAAGUGAGACUGACGGAUGUGACCGUGCAACUUGCCGUAACUAGAGCUCCAAUUAAUUAUUUAGAAAUCGUAAGGAAGCCGCGUGUGUUCCCAAAGAGUAAAUGUCUCGGGAAGCGAGGCUGGCCAGUGUGACCGUGCAAGAAAACGACAGCAUUGAAACCACUCUUGACCACUCUUUUUAUUUUUUAAUUUUUUUUGAUAUUUGGGGAUCAAAUUUAAUUGUUUAGAAAGAAAAGAUCUAUCGAUCUAGGUAAGUUUGGGACAGAUCCGAGGCCUAUUAAUUUUUCAAAAAUACAUUUGAAACACGAUUUAUCAAUUGCAUUUUUGAAAAAUUAAUAGGCCUCGGAUUUGCUAAAGGCCUACCUAGAUCGUUAGAUAUCUUCAUUUGGACAAAUUUGUUCGAUUUGGUUCCCCAUAAGCGAGAAAAUUUAAUAAUAAAAAGAGCCCCAUGUUCGAAGUUCCACUA